rnacentral:rRNA from 1 species
UACGUAGGGUGCAAGCGUUGUCCGGAAUUAUUGGGCGUAAAGAGCUCGUAGGCGGUCUGUCGCGUCGGCUGUGAAAACCCGGGGCUCAACCCCGGGCCUGCAGUCGAUACGGGCAGACUAGAGUCCGGAAGAGGAGAGUGGAAUUCCCGGUGUAGCGGUGAAAUGCGCAGAUAUCGGGAAGAACACCCGUGGCGAAGGCGGCUCUCUGGGACGGUACUGACGCUGAGACGCGAAAGCGUGGGGAGCGAACAGG